GGCAGUUCUCGAGUGGUGCACCCUGGAAUCGGGCUCCCUCCUCUCUGGUUCCGGGGUGCGUACCCAAGAACUGCC
rfam:Myotis lucifugus cont2.48132, whole genome shotgun sequence.